GCUUACGGCCAUACCACUCUGAACACGCCCGAUCUCGUCCGAUCUCGGAAGCUAAGCAGGGUCGGGCCUGGUUAGUACUUGGAUGGGAGACCGCCUGGGAAUACCAAGUGCUGUAAGCU
rnacentral:rRNA from 1 species